rnacentral:siRNA from 1 species
AACGGUUGGGAUGGACAAAACCGU